rnacentral:rRNA from 1 species
AAUCAACGCUGGCGGCGUGCCUCAGACAUGCAAGUCGAACGAUUAAGACUUCCUUCGGGAAGUGCAUAAAGUGGCGCACGGGUGAGUAACACGUAAGUAAUCUACCCUCGAGUGGGGAAUAACGUUCGGAAACGAACGCUAAUACCGCAUAAUGCAGCGGCAUCGCAAGAUGACAGUUGUUAAAGGAGUAAUUCGCUUGAGGAGGAGCUUGCGGCGGAUUAGCUAGUUGGUAAGGUAACGGCUUACCAAGGCUACGAUCUGUAUCCGGUCUAAGGGGACGGUCGGACACACUGACACUGAAUAACGGGUCAGACUCCUACGGGAGGCAGCAGUCGGGAAUUUUGGGCAAUGGGCGAAAGCCUGACCCAGCAACGCCGCGUGAAGGAUGAAGUAUUUCGGUAUGUAAACUUCGAAAGAAUGGGAAGGAUAAAUGACGGUACCAUUUAUAGGCUCCGGCUAACUACGUGCCAGCCGCCGCAGUAAAAC